GACGAACGCUGGCGGCAGGCCUAACACAUGCAAGUCGAGCGGACCUUUCGGGGUCAGCGGCGGACGGGUGAGUAACGCGUGGGAAUAUGCCCUUCUCUACGGAAUAGUCCUGGGAAACUGGGGGUAAUACCGUAUACGCCCUUUGGGGGCAAGAUUUAUCGGGGAAGGAUUAGCCCGCGUUGGAUUAGGUAGUUGGUGGGGUAAUGGCCUACCAAGCCGACGAUCCAUAGCGGGUUUGAGAGGAAGAUCAGCCACACUGGGACUGAGACACGGCCCAGACUCCUACGGGAGGCAGCAGUGGGGAAUCUUAGACAAUGGGGGCAACCCUGAUCUAGCCAUGCCGGGUGAGUGAUGAAGGCCUUAGGGUUGUAAAGCUCUUUCAGCUGGGAAGAUAAUGACGGUACCAGCAGAAGAAGCCCCGGCUAACUCCGUG
rnacentral:rRNA from 1 species